rnacentral:sRNA from 1 species
AUGUACCACUCGUACACUGCGGUUCCUGCGCGCCGUCCGCGCCCACCUGACGGCUGCUCGCGUGAUCC